rnacentral:rRNA from 1 species
UACAGAGGUCCCAAGCGUUGUUCGGAUUCACUGGGCGUAAAGGGUGCGUAGGUGGCCAGGUAAGUUUGGUGUGAAAGCUCGGAGCUUAACUCCGAAAUGUCAUUGAAUACUAUCUGGCUGGAGGGUCGGAGGGGAGACUGGAAUUCUCGGUGUAGCAGUGAAAUGCGUAGAGAUCGGGAGGAACACCUGUGGCGAAGGCGGCCCCCUGGGCCGCGCCUGACGCUGAGACGCGAAAGCGCGGGGAGCGAACGGG